UAUGGAAAGCUAUAUAAAGGACACCAUCCUUA
rnacentral:piRNA from 1 species